CCCACCCUGACCGUCUCCCCCAGCUGGCUCUCUGACCACGGCUGCAGGGCUCUGCUGGCCAAGCAACUCUGUGUCCUGGGUGCUCAGGCCCCUGCCUGUUAGAAACCCCUUCUCUGUUCCCACCCUGGGACCUGGGAUCUGGGAGGUGGGCUGUUGGAAGUGAUCAUGAAGCAAAUGUUCCAUUUGAUCCAAGAGUUGGAGCUGACAUCUUGCUGCGGGAGCCUAGAAGCAUCUGGUGUGAAGGACAUGCAGUCCUCUCCUGGCCCAGAAUCAUGAUGGUGACCCACUAUGAGGAGAUGCAAGUGUACAGAUGAGCAAGACAGGAGCAGUUCUCAUGGCUGAAUUUCAAAUAAAAUGAAAAGAAAAGAGCUUUUGAGGACACUCAAGCCCUUCAGUGUGCCUCCGCCGCUGGCCGUGACAGAGCCUGACUC
rnacentral:lncRNA from 1 species